AAGAAAGAGAUUAACGUGCAAAAUGUAUUUUUUUAAUGCGUACAGAUCGAAAGAAUAAUCGCGAUCUCGAAUAAAUCGUGAAAUGCGGUUAAGGUUGAUUUCUUUGCGGGUUUUCUUAUACUCGUUUAGUAUUUCAAUGAAGACAUCGGUAUUUUAUUUGGAAUUUAUUUACUAUGUAUAUAUAACUAUAUAUAUAACGAUUCGAUACGGUAUAAAGUACCACGUAAAGUUAACAAUAACUCUUUCGAAGUUUCGAAUUUAUAGCAACAUCUUUUAGAAUAGGAAAAGAAGGCCUAGCAAGAUUAUGUAAUCCAAUGCAGUAUCGGUGGUCUGUAUCUUUGAUAAAGUAUCAAGAAUUUCGUUUAAAUAAUAUAUUACAAACACACACACUCACAUAUAGAAAAUAUUUUUAUUUAUUUGUCCAAUAUUUUUCGUCAAACAAAUGAUCAAUACAUAAAUAAAUAUAUUGUUCGUUAUAAAUACCAAAUAGACGUACAAGGGAUAAGGGAGGGUUGCAUCAGGGGAUUGCGUUAAUUUCACACUUUGCCGGAAAAAGAAAACCAAAAAAUCAGAACCAUGAUCUCUUAUUACCUAUUUAUAAAAUAAAAUUUGUCUUAAUACUUACCACAUGUGAUAAUUACGUACUAAUAUAUUAAAUGAAAAAUUCUUAAAAAGAAAAAAAAUACGAAUAAAAAUGUAUUUUUCAAAAAAAAAAAAUCCAAAAAACGAAUAAUCAAUAACCCGUUAUCGAAAAAAAAAGAAGAGACAAUCGAGAGGGUCAAAAGUUGAAACGUUUUCGGAUUUCCGGGAGGAUCCGUCAGACGAUGUAGAGAAAUUGCAUUUCCGAGUUUUCCCCUUCCACCCUUUUCAUCCCUCUCUACCCUUUUUCCAUGCGUGCACAGACACACGUAUACCAAUGUAAUAGUUACAUACGUGCGGGUGGCUGUGUGCCACGUGGUGGUCCAUGUUCCUCUAUUCCAGAAUUUCGGGUCUCGGCCACCAGGUGGCAGCACCGCAGCUAACCGGUCGAAACUCGGAAUGAGGAGGUUCAGUAUUGCGCCGGCCGUUCAUCUCGUAAGUUCUUUGACAGAUUUUUCGUGGUUAGCUGCUAGUGAGCUACGCCCCCCUUAAGGGUGGAAUCCUACGGUUUAAUAUAUAUAUAUAUUAAUUUUCACUAAAACAAUUUAUUCCGACUUUUUUUUAUUCUAAAGUUUUUCUUUUAAUUCUUUCAAACGAUUCGGUUUAACACAUUCGACGUUGUAGGAACGUAAAAAAUUAAGUAUAUAUAUAUAUAUAUAUAUAUAGUUAAUGUGUUUGUGUGUUGAGAAAAGAAGGGUAGUGUAAAAAGAAAAAAAGAAGAAUAUACACGGAAGGAAAUAAGGCGUAGCAUCCCCCAUCAUCAAUUGGAAGAAAAGAGGGAUGUUUUCUUUUUAAACAUCAAACGCAUACAACAUUUUGACACCCUAGUGGGAAUAAUAUCAAAAUACGAGAUAAGGGAUCUUGUAACAAGGAAAUUCAAGGAGCUAACUAUCUAUUUGGCAUUUGUGGCUAACGUUUGGUUGCUUCCUUGUUUCCUUGCUUGCUAUCUAGCUAGUUAUCUACUUACCUACACAAUUACAUCGAGCGAUCAUCAUCUUCGUGGGUGGUGAAAUCUCAUUAAAACUACCCGUAACAUUUGUUCGUUUCAAUUUAUCGAACAAAUUAAAUAAUAAUAAUAAUAAUAAUAAUAAAACUAAUACAGAAAACAAAAAAAAAAUAGAUAAAGAAGUAUUAGUUUGUAUCGAGGAUGUUUAAAUGCUGCGUAUGCAACAAGAGUUCGAGGAAGGAAAAGCUUGUUACCAAUGAAAUGGCAAGCAGUAGCAGCAACAACAAAUUAUUGGGAAAUAAAUUGACCGACGUCGAUUCAUCGAUUAAUAAAGAUGACGAAGAGAAGAAUAUGAUGAUAGAUGAAAAUAAAGAUAAAACUGUUAACGGUGAAAUUAAUCAGAGAUGCGAGAUAAAUAACAAAAUAUCAUCUUCGUCGUGUGUGUUAUUAGAAAAUCAUUUAAUUAAUAUGGAAAAAUUAACAAUGGUAGAUAAUAAAGAAAAUAUUCAAAA